AGACGUCUACAUUAGAUACCCGCGUAGUCCAGGGUGUAAACGCUGCAGACUUGGUGUUGGAAGUCCUUUGGGGGCAUUCAGUGCCGGAGAGAAGCUGUUAAGUCCGCCGCCUGGGAAGUACGGUCGCAAGACUGAAACUUAAGGAAUUGGCGGGGGAGCACCACAACACGUGGAGCCUGCGGUUUAAUUGGAUUCAACGCCGGACAUCUCACCAGAGGCGACAGCUGUAUGAUAGCCAAGUUGAUGACUUUGCUUGACUAGCUG
rnacentral:rRNA from 1 species